rnacentral:rRNA from 1 species
UGGGGAAUAUUGCGCAAUGGACGAAAGUCUGACGCAGCAACGCCGCGUGAGGGAUGACGGCCUUCGGGUUGUAAAGCUCUUUCGGACGGAACGAAACGGUUACGGUGAACAGCCGUGACUAAUGACGGUACCGUAAGAAGAAGCACCGGCUAACUACGUGCCAGCAGCCGCGGUAAUACGUAGGGGACGAGCGUUGUCCGGAUUCAUUGGGCGUAAAGCGCGCGUAGGCGGCUCGAAAAGUCGGGCGUGAAAUGCCGGGGCUCAACCCCGGGACUGCGUCCGAUACUUCCGAGCUGGAGGUAGGUAGGGGAGAUCGGAAUUCCUGGUGUAGCGGUGAAAUGCGCAGAUAUCAGGAGGAACACCGGUGGCGAAGGCGGAUCUCUGGGCCUUACCUGACGCUGAGGCGCGAAAGCUAGGGGAGCGAA